UUAAUUAUGAAGCUGUUGGCCUUGCUUGUUUCUUACUGGCUAGCUCUGACAAGAUUAUGGUGCAGAGCAGAGAACAGGAAGAAGGUAUCGCAGCAACUAAACAGCCUCCGUCCCUCCCAGCAUCCUGGUGCAGACCAACUCACUGGUCAGUCUGACCUGAUGGAGAAGUGUGCCUCUUCAAACCCUUGUGAGAAAUGAGCCAGAUAGAAACAACCACAUGGCUUGUUUCCCUGUGUGUGACUGCUGGUCGAGCAUCGAACCAUAAGUGUCCAAUCAUUUCAAAGUUUACAUUGGAAGCAGCUUCACCUGUCAGUCAUGGGUGAUGCUGUGUCUUUCAAAGGAGCUGCCUCAGAAUUUUCAGCUGGGGAUGUCUUUCUGGAGACUAUUUGUUGCCUCCUCGGCGUCUAGAAAGACCCCUCUUGCCAAAUCCACGCUGCUGUUCAAGCAAACGUCUACCGGAGUCAAUUCUCAGCCUCAACACACAACACUGUCCAAGAACCCCACCAAAUCUGAAACCAGUAGAAGACUGCAGAUGAUAUUAAAAAAAAAACACAGCAAGUCAUGGUAACAGCGCUUUGGGGUCUGGACACGGGGCUCAGGGGAUAAAGCGGGAGCCAUACAACAGUGAGGAAGAGCGUGGAUCCCCC